CCAAGAGAUUCAACCGUUUCUUUCUUCCUCUUUCCUUUCCUCUGCUUCCCUUCUCUCACUUCUCCGACAAAUGCUCUCUUUUUCUCUCUGCUCUCCCGUCUCCUUUCUCUCUCCUCCAUUGCUCUGCUCUGCUACAUCAUUUCACCCAACAAUCUCCUCCCUGCGACCCUGCCUCGCCCUUUCCCUGCCUUUCAUUCAAGAUUUCGAGACCUAGCUUCUAAGCUCACAACAAUCGCGGAUGGAGAUUCUAGAUCCUGAACGAACAUAGUUUUUGCGUUUGCGGAACCAAGCUUCAAAAAUAUUCAAUGGCAGACUAUGAUUUCAAAGAGUGGGACAUGAGUUUGUCAUGAUCUUGUUUCGUUCCAACGCUUUCUUUUUCCCCCUCUUUUCCCAGGCUUCUUCCACCAUUCAACAACGAGAUUCCAGCAAGAUGAAAGGUAUGGUAGAGGAAAGCAUGGUUCAGAUGCAGUAGCUUAGGGGAAACCACAUGAAAUCAACACCUUUUAUGGUUAGAAGGGGUCAGUUUCUCAUCGAGGUGUGAGAGUCAUGAUAAAUGAGGUGUUCAACCGCCGCUCUCCCCUGCUGUUUCAACCUCCUGCAACAACUGCCUCUCUCAACGCUGCCACCGAACCACAACGUCUAUUAGUGUGUUUUGGUGUAGUUUGUGACGCAGAGAAUAAAACUUCGGCAUGGAGGUGGUAGUGGUGAUAGUUGUGGGCGUGGUGGAUACAAUAUAGACUACUCCAAUCCUAACACUUCUAAAAGAGCAAAUUUGAAGUUACUAUUCCUACAAUAUUGUUAUGACCGUAUUGCCCCCGCCUCUCACUCUUUACUACUGGUUUGCCCUUGUAAGGAGAUCAUGCCACGUUCCGUCAUCCCUGCUUCAGUGCUUCUCUUCUUCUUUCUUUCACCCCUCUUCCCUGUUUCAGUGCUUCAACAAACCCUAACUCUGCUCAUCUUCCCCCCAUCUCCUCUGGACCCACUUUCUCCCUACUGCAUUGUUCUACCUUGCUACAUCCAUCUUCUCACCAAUAACUGAAGUGGGCUGUUGAUAUUCCAACCAAUAUGUUUUCUCUCACCUUCUCACUCCUUCUCUGCUGAUUUCAUAAUGCUUCAAGAUUAUGCCGGUUUAUGGCGAUCGAAGGAUCAAAUUCGAGGAUUAUGAGAAGGAGCCUGAGUAUGAAACUAUGGAUACAAUCGCAAGUAUUGACGAGUGGAAUCAAGCAAACACGAAGAUGAAGAUAUCGAUGGUGUUUCCUCCUCAUACCAUCUGCUCGUCCCAAUCGAUGUUGGCGACAUCAUUGUUUGAUUUGCAGCGCUGUACUAGCCGUUUUUUAUGUAUGGUUGCAGCUGCUUUUCUUUUGAUCGACUAUGUUUUUUUGUUUCCAAGGUCUUUUUUAGCUUAUUGUUUCCUGCAUGUUGUCAAAUUUUCAGAAAAGUCCUGAAAUUUUGUUUAAGUUAUGUUGUCUUCUUGUCAAAGUUUUUUGUCACUGGAUGUCUUUGCUUGAUAUGUCCCUAGCAAGUUCAUGGGCUCAUGGCUGUGUGAUUUGCAUUGUAGACUCCUUUUUCCAAUUGCAAACAUUUGCCAUUUAGUGAAACAUGGGCAAAAACAAUAUUAACUAUCGCGAUGAGCUCGCUAUCAUGUAUCACGUGUUGUCACUUUGUACUCUUUUUUCUUGUCAAAUUUGAUUUCAUGCUUAUAUUGUGAAAAUGAAUUAUUGUGGAAAACGAAUUUGUAUGGAAUAAAAUAUAGACACUUAUUCAUGUUUAAGCAA